GGAAAAAAUUUAUUUUAAAGGUAAUUUAAUUUAAGAGUGUAAGUUAGAUUUUUAUAUUUAUUAAAAAAAUUUUUAUUUAUUUAUGUUGAAGUAAUUAUAUUGAUUUAAUAAAAUUGAGGUAAAGUAGUUGAUAAUUAAAUAUAAUUAAAAAAUAAGUAUUUAUUUUAUGUUCCUUUUGUAUCAGGAUUUAUUAAAUUAUUUAUAUAAAUUUUAUUUAUCUAGAAAUUUAAUGAGCUAAUUUGAUUUGAUAGUUAAUGUAAUAUAAUUAUUAUAUAAAUUGAAUUGGGGGUGAUAUAUUAAACAAAUUAAAUGAUAUCUAGUUUUAUAUAAAUUAAAUUUAAUUUAGUUAUAGUGAUUUUUAUUUAAUACAUUUGUUAUUAAGUAAAUUUGUUAUAAUAAAAAUAUACGGAAUAUAUUGUAUAUUUCUAAUAAAAUUUAAUUUUGAAUGUUAAUUUUAUAGAUUUAAGAUUUAUUAUUAUUUGAAUAAAUUUAAAAAUUUUAUUAAUUUAAGAAUUUAUUUGAUUAAUAUAAAAAUUUAUUUAAUUAAUAUAAUUUUAAGUUUUAAUAAAGUAAUUAUAUUAAUAAUGAUAAAAUUAGUAAUAAUAUAAUAUAUUAAAGUAAUUAAUUUAAAUAUAAAAUUUAUGAAUUAGGCAAAUAAAAAUAUUUACUUGUUUAACAAAAACAUCGUUUUUUGAUUAUAAUUUAAGAUUUAUUCUGCUCAAUGAAAAUUUAAAUAGCCGCAGUAUUUUAACUGUGCAAAGGUAGCAUAAUAAUUUGUUUAUUAAUUGUAAACUGGAAUGAAAGAAUAGAUAAAAUAUUUACUUUAUUAAUAUUAUAAAUAUAAAGUUAAUUUUUUAGUAAAAAAGCUAAAAUUUUUUAUUGGGACGAGAAGACCCUAUAGAAUUUUAUAUUAUAAUGAAUAUUUUAAAUUAAUAUAUUUUUAUAUAUUUAUUAUAUUAAUUUAUUGGGAGGAUAAUUAAAUUUUUAAACUUUAAUAUAAUUAACCAAAGAUAAAUGAAGAUUGGAUUUUAUAUAUAAAAUUUUAGAAAAAUUACCUUAGGGAUAACAGUGUAAUAUUUUUAGAAAGUUCUUAUUGAUAAAAAUGUUUAUAACCUCGAUGUUGAAUUUAGAUUAAUUUAAAUAGAAGUUUGUUUAAAUUUUAGUCUGUUCGACUAUUAAAAUCUAACAUGAUUUGAGUUCAAAUCGGUGUGAGCCAGAUUGGUUUCUAUCUUAUAAAAAUAUGUUAUUUUUGUACGAAAGGAUUAGAUAGCAGUAAAAUUUAGAUUAUUAAUGAAUGUAAUUAAUUUAUGAUU
rnacentral:rRNA from 1 species